rnacentral:precursor_RNA from 13 species
AUCCAGUGGUAUUGUGCGUGGGCCCCUUCUACUUUAACAUGGAGGUGCUUUCUGUGAUUUAAAAAGUAAGUGCUUCCAUGUUUUAGUAGAGGUGAAUCCUGCUUUUUCAAUAAUGGACC